GACGGGUGAGUAACGCGUGGGUAACCUGCCUCAUACGGGGGGAUAACAGUUGGAAACGGCUGCUAAUACCGCAUAAGCGCACAGGAUCGCAUGAUCUGGUGUGAAAAACUCCGGUGGUAUGAGAUGGACCCGCGUCUGAUUAGCCAGUUGGCAGGGUAACGGCCUACCAAAGCGACGAUCAGUAGCCGACCUGAGAGGGUGACCGGCUACAUUGGGACUGAGACACGGCCCAAACUCCUACGGGAGGCAGCAGUGGGGAAUAUUGCACAAUGGGGGAAACCCUGAUGCAGCGACGCCGCGUGAGCGAAGAAGUAUUUCGGUAUGUAAAGCUCUAUCAGCAGGGAAGAAGAAUGACGGUACCUGACUAAGAAGCACCGGCUAAAUACGUGCCAGCAGCCGCGGUAAUACGUAUGGUGCAAGCGUUAUCCGGAUUUACUGGGUGUAAAGGGAGCGUAGACGGCAAGGCAAGUCUGAAGUGAAAGCCCGGUGCUUAACGCCGGGACUGCUUUGGAAACUGUUUGGCUGGAGUGCCGGAGAGGUAAGCGGAAUUCCUAGUGUAGCGGUGGAAUGCGUAGAUAUUAGGAAGAACACCAGUGGCGAAGGCGGCUUACUGGACGGUAACUGACGUUGAGGCUCGAAAGCGUGNGGAGCAAACAGGAUUAGAUACCCUGGUAGUCCACGCCGUAAACGAUGAUUG
rnacentral:rRNA from 1 species